GAAACUGGGCAACCAAAAUAAUAUGGACAAACUGUAUAACAGAUGAAGUGGCCGCAAAUGUUUCCUGGAAGUGGCUGAAGGGGAAACAUUGUUUCUGAGCACUGAAAAUUGUCAAAGCAGUCAAAGCUGCUGUAAGCAAGGCGCCUAAUAGCACUCCAGUCAUCAUCGAGCCUGCCAUAAAAUCUUGGUUGCAGCAUGCAUCCGAGCGUCUUGUGCCCAAAGCGCAAAAGCAGCGUUCCAGAACGGAUGAAGUGCACCAAGCAAGAGGUCUCCGCACGCGCAGCUGCACUCUGUCCUUCAUAUUCUACCAUUUGUUGCCUUCUAACGACGAGUGAAGAUAACCUACGGCCGGGACCUUACGGCCAAGUCAGUGGAUCCCGGAGCCUGCGACGACUUGCGGCGACGAUAAUCAACGUUGAAGCAAGCACAUAUAAGGACUUGUAAAACUGCUAACAGCCUCAUCCGGCAAUGGUGGCGGCGGAGUUGCAUCUGGCCUAAUCGCCGGCGAUUUUCGC
rnacentral:lncRNA from 1 species